UGAUCAUGGCUCAGAACGAACGCUGGCGGCGUGCCUAACACAUGCAAGUCGUACGAGAAACACGUCCUUCGGGGCGUGGAGUAAAGUGGCGCACGGGUGAGUAACACGUGGGUAACCUGCCCUUGGAACCGGGAUAACUGGCCGAAAGGCCCGCUAAUACCGGAUAAGACUUCAUGAGCUUCGGCUCAUGCGGCCAAAGUCGGCCUCUCGAAGAAGCCGGCGCCUGAGGAUGGGCCCGCGGACCAUUAGCUAGUUGGUGAGGUAACGGCCCACCAAGGCCGAGAUGGUUAGCUGGUCUGAGAGGAUGAUCAGCCACACUGGAACUGAGAUACGGUCCAGACUCCUACGGGAGGCAGCAGUGAGGAAUAUUGUGCAAUGGAGGCAACUCUGACGCAGCAACGCCGCGUGGGUGAGGAAGGCUUUCGGGUUGUAAAGCCCUGUCAGGUGGGAAGAAACCUCAUCUAGUGAAUAGCUAGAGGAACUGACGGUACCACCAAAGGAA
rnacentral:rRNA from 1 species